rnacentral:rRNA from 1 species
UACGUAGGGGGGCUAGCGUUGUCCGGAUUUAUUGGGCGUAAAGCGCGUGUAGGCGGCCAGGUAGGUCCGCUGUGAAAACUCGAGGCUCAACCUCGAGAUGUCGGCGGAAACCAUCUGGCUAGAGUCCGGAAGAGGAGAGUGGAAUUCCCCGGUGUAGCGGUGAAAUGCGCAGAUAUCGGGAAGAACACCCGUGGCGAAGGCGGCUCUCUGGGACGGUACUGACGCUGAGACGCGAAAGCGUGGGGAGCGAACAGG